GCCACCUUUCCAGCCUCUCCUCCCAGCAGAGGAUCCCAGUGCCCUCCUGGCCUGAAGGCCCUGCAGGCCUGGCCCUCCCAACUUCCUCUCUGCCCUUGUCCCCUGUCGUCCCUCUAGUUGGCCUGGCCCUCCCAACUUCCUCUCUGCCCUUGUCCCCCGUCGUCCCCCUAGUUGGCCUGGCCCUCCCAACCUCCUCUCUGCCCUUGUCCCCCGUCGUCCCCCUAGUUGGAGGGUGCCCCAGCCUGGCUGACCUCAGUUCUUGUCCCCAGCACACACAACUCUUCCCAGCCUCAAGGCCUUCACCUGGCUGUGCCGCUGCCUGCAAUGUUCCUCCCCAGUCUUGUCAGGGCUGGCUCCUGGGGAGAAGAUCUCUGCUCAGAUGUCACUUCCCCGGAAGGGCCUUCCACGGCCACCCACGUCGUGUCUCCCCACGCCUGCCCCCACACUCGCUAGCCCGCCAUCCCCUCUUCCUGCUUCCGUCCUCCACAGCAGUCAUCACCAUCUGAUAUUCCUGUGUAUGCAUCGGUUUGCCUUUCUGGCUCCUGGUUUUGCUCUGCCUCCCCGCUGGAAGCAUUUUUCUGUGGCUGUCAGAUUUCUGACUUCCUGGCGGACUAUCAGCCUCACACCUGCGGGUCUGUGCCCUGGGCUCACAGCUUAACACGUAGGAGGACCUUAAUAAAUACGCUGAUUGCCCCUGUGGAGGGGACACGCUCCUGCCAGAAAAACCCAG
rnacentral:lncRNA from 1 species